rnacentral:rRNA from 1 species
AGAAGGAUCGGCCCGCGUAAGAUUAGAUAGUUGGUGGGGUAACGGCCUACCAAGUCUACGAUCUUUAGCUGGUUUUAGAGGAUGAUCAGCAACACUGGGACUGAGACACGGCCCAGACUCCUACGGGAGGCAGCAGUGGGGAAUAUUGGACAAUGGGCGCAAGCCUGAUCCAGCCAUGCCGCGUGAGUGACGAAGGCCUUAGGGUUGUAAAGCUCUUUUGGCGGGGACGAUAAUGACGGUACCCGCAGAAUAAGCUCCGGCUAACUUCGUGCCAGCAGCCGCGGUAAUACGAAGGGAGCUAGCGUUGUUCGGAAUUACUGGGCGUAAAGCGCACGUAGGCGGACUUGUUAGUCAGGGGUGAAAUCCCGGGGCCCAACCUCGGAACUGCCUUUGAUACUGCAAGUCUGGAGUCCGGAAGAGGUGGGUGGAAUUCCUAGUGUAGAGGUGAAAUUCGUAGAUAUUAGGAAGAACACCGGUGGCGAAGGCG